GACGAACGCUGGCGGCGUGCUUAACACAUGCAAGUCGAACGGAAAGGCCCUGCUUUUGUGGGGUGCUCGAGUGGCGAACGGGUGAGUAACACGUGAGUAACCUGCCCUUGACUUUGGGAUAACUUCAGGAAACUGGGGCUAAUACCGGAUAGGAGCUCCUGCUGCAUGGUGGGGGUUGGAAAGUUUCGGCGGUUGGGGAUGGACUCGCGGCUUAUCAGCUUGUUAGUGGGGUAGUGGCUUACCAAGGGUUCGACGGGUAGCCGGCCUGAGAGGGGGACCGGCGACAUGGGGACUGAGAGACGGACCAGACGCCUACGGGAGGCAGCAGUGGAGAGUAUUGCACAAUGGGCGGAAGCCUGAUGCAGCAACGCCGGGUGCGGAAAAACGGCCUUCGGGUUGUAAACCGCUUUCGCCUGUGACGAAGCGUGAGUGACGGUAAUGGGUAAAGAAGCACCGGCUAACUACGUG
rnacentral:rRNA from 1 species